rnacentral:rRNA from 1 species
UACGUAGGGGGCUAGCGUUGUCCGGAAUCAUUGGGCGUAAAGCGCGUGUAGGCGGUCCGGUAAGUCCGCUGUGAAAGUCGGGGGCUCAACCCUCGGAUGCCGGUGGAUACUGUCGGGCUUGAGUACGGAAGAGGCGAGUGGAAUUCCUGGUGUAGCGGUGAAAUGCGCAGAUAUCAAGAGGAACACCAAUUGCGAAGGCAGCUCGCUGGGACGUUACUGACGCUGAGACGCGAAAGCGUGGGGAGCAAACAGG